rnacentral:rRNA from 1 species
AUUGAACGCUGGCGGCAGGCCUAACACAUGCAAGUCGAACGAGUGGCGGACGGGUGAGUAAUGUCUGGGAAACUGCCUGAUGGCGGGGGAUAACUACUGGAAACGGUAGCUAAUCCCGCAUACCAUCGGAUGUGCCCAGAUGGGAUUAGCUAGUAGUUGGGGUAACGGCUCACCUAGGCGACGAUCCCUAGCUGGUCUGAGAGGAUGACCAGCCACACGGGAACUGAAACACGGUCCAGACUCCAACGGGAGGAAGCAGUGGGGAAUAUUGCACAAUGGGCGCAAACCUGAUACAGCCAUGCCGCGGGUAUGAAGAAGGCCUUCGGGUUGUAAAGUACGUUCAGCGGGGAGGCGUUACCCGAAGAAGAAGCACCGGCUAACUACGUGCCAGCCGCCGCGGUAAUUC